UCAACAUGUCAGCCCGCUGCCGUUUCAACCCGAAGUGGACAGGUUACUAGACAGUUUUUUUCAUUUGUCGUGAUAUUGAUUUGUCAGGUACGUCUAUUGAACAUGUCCGCUAAAUACGAAGAUGUACAGAUCAAAAUGGAGGAUGAAGAUGCCAAGACAGCAGACUACACAUCAGAACAAACACAGA
rnacentral:misc_RNA from 1 species